rnacentral:rRNA from 1 species
CGGAGGGUGCGAGCGUUGUCCGGAAUCACUGGGCGUAAAGGGCGCGUAGGCGGCCUGGUAAGUAGGGGGUGAAAUCCUGCGGCUUAACCGCAGGGCUGCCUUCUAAACUGUCAGGCUUGAGCACAGUAGAGGCAGGUGGAAUUCCCGGUGUAGCGGUGGAAUGCGUAGAGAUCGGGAAGAACAUCAGUGGCGAAGGCGGCCUGCUGGGCUGUUGCUGACGCUGAGGCGCGACAGCGUGGGGAGCAAACAGGAUUAGAUACCCUGGUAGUCCACGCCGUAAACGAUGGGCACUAGGCGUCGGGGGGAGCGACCCUCCCGGUGCCGUCGCUAACGCAGUAAGUGCCCCACCUGGGGAGUACGGCCGCAAGGCUG